CGUAACGCGUAUGCAAUCUACCUUUUACAGGGGAAUAGCCCAGAAAAAUUUGGAUUAAUGCCCCAUAGCAUAUAGAGAUCGCAUGGGUUUUUAUAUUAAAGUUCCAACGGUAAAAGAUGAGCAUGCGUCCCAUUAGUUAGUUGGUAAGGUAACGGCUUACCAAGACGAUGAUGGGUAGGGGUCCUGAGAGGGAGAUCCCCCACACUGGUACUGAGACACGGACCAGACUCCUACGGGAGGCAGCAGUGAGGAAUAUUGGACAAUGGGCGCAAGCCUGAUCCAGCCAUGCCGCGUGCAGGAUGAAGCAUCUAUGGUGUGUAAACUGCUUUUGUACGGGAAGAAACCCUGGCUCGUGAGCCAGAUUGACGGUACCGUAAGAAUAAGGAUCGGCUAACUCCGUGCCAGCAGCCGCGGUAAUACGGAGGAUCCAAGCGUUAUCCGGAAUCAUUGGGUUUAAAGGGUCCGUAGGCGGCCCAGUAAGUCAGUGGUGAAAUCUCCCGGCUCAACCGGGAAAUUGCCAUUGAUACUGCUGGGCUUGAAUUACCAGGAAGUAACUAGAAUAUGUAGUGUAGCGGUGAAAUGCUUAGAGAUUACAUGGAAUACCAAUUGCGAAGGCAGGUUACUACUGGUGGAUUGACGCUGAUGGGCGAAAGCGU
rnacentral:rRNA from 1 species